CGCAGCUCUCUCCCCAAAUUUCACUUCCCUCCUCCCUCAAUUUUCGACUUCCCUCUUCAAUUGAAACCCACCAUAAGAGAAAAGUUGUUGUUUCAUUCCCUCUAUUUAUACUUUUCAGUUGUAAUAGAAAGAAAAAAACAAACUCGAGCUGAAAACACAGUCGAUCUGAUUCUACUUGGCGGAGAAGGCGGCGACUCGUAACAAUCAUUAGAUUUGAGAGAUUCUGGGUUCAACUCGUAGUAAGGUGUGAGACAUAUUCUGGGUUGAGACAAAUUGGUUUCCUGAUUUUUCGUGUUAUGCUCUCCCUGACCUAAUUUUGUUCUAUCAACCCAGAUAGAAGGUUGAGGAGUCAAUAACUCUAAAAUCAGAACUAUAGAAGAUGCGGACUUUCAGGAAGGGCAGGGAUGAUGAGUUUUGGAUUUUGUUAGAUCAAAAAGGUGUUGGGGUGAUUAGCAUGAUCUUCUCUGUUUCUUUCUGUGUUCGUUCUUGGCUGGGCUCUUCGCAUCUAGAGGAGAGGCAGUGAUUGUGGAGGAGAUGGAAGAAGAAUUGACAACAAAAGAUUAACGGGUUGCUUCAUACUUUUUUUGUGGAUAGAGAUAUUCUUUGGAGGCUCUAUAAAGAAUACGGCUUUAGGUUCUGUUAUUUGUCAAACAGAGAGGAGAGGAAUCCUUCUUGCUUGAAAGAAGGAGAAGGGAGAAGAGAGGAGCUUUUGCUUGCUUGAAAGAAAAGAAGUGGAAGGGAUUUGAAUAAACAAAAAUGGGAGGUGGUAGUAUUUCUCUGUUCUCUGAUUUUUGGACUGUUGUUCUUUGCUUGCUUGAUGCAGUUGCCUUUCUCCUGAGGUAUGGUUUGUCAUGAUUGUUAUUUCUUCCUUUUUUUACUUUCUAUGGAGACAGAUUAUUUUACAAUAUUUUAUGGUCAUUAAUCAAUGAUCAGAUUAUCAUUCUUAGUUAAUCUAUCCUUCUUUGUGAUUUCUAGGUAAUUAAGGGUUUCAAUCUUUCCAGGUAGUGCAUUAGUCUUUUUAUAUUCGGCCUGGAUAUCAUAUUUGUUCCUUUUCAUUAGUGUUUUUAUUUGAAGGGUGAAGUUUGUUUUGAAAGGAAAAUGGUGAUUCAAUGCAAUAUGAUAAUGGUUGCAAAUCUUGGCUACCCAAGUCACAACCCACAGCCUUCCAAUAAAAUUUGACAACUAACUUGGUGAAGUUUGAGCUUUGUUUAAAUGGAUAUCAACUUCAGUUUGUGGACAGUCUGAGUUUGCAUUAUAUAUGAAACUUCUCAUUGUCAUUAAAGAAUUAAAUACAAGUGCGUACCCAUGUAGUUAAAAUAGAAAGCUGUCAUGGGACAGCUAACAAUUAAUCUCCUACCUUUCCUCUAUAGCAAACAAAACUAAUAAAAACCACUGUCUAUCUAGCUAUACCCUAAGUCUUCCAAGUAUGCUUCAGUUGCUUAUUCUAUACAUACUUAUGUAAUGUAAUCUAUCUAAGCAACACUAAUAUGGAUAUUAACAUUAAUAUUAUUGAACAGUGAUUGCAGAUUGGGCAAAAGUGAAGAUUAUUGUCAAUCAUAUUUUAAUACGAGGACAUGUGUGACAUUGAUCAUUGUAUGGAAUUGAUCAUUAGCAUUAUUGUAUGGACUUGAUCAUUGUUUUUGCUUUAUUUUGAUCAUGUCAGGUUAGAAAUUUUUUCCUAAAAAGAAAAUUCUUUUUGUUUUUCUCUGUUUUAUGUUAUGCUUAGGGGUUUGAAAAAAAUCUUAUUCUGCAAAUAUGGUUGGUUAAAGUGGCUAAUGUGGUAUUGGUAUUGGUAUUGUAGAAAUUGGCAUAAUAUGCUCCUCUUUGUUUAUUAGAUCGAUUCUUUACUUCCAGUUUUAUAUCCUCUUUUAAAUCUACAGUUUUGGUGUUUAAUUAAUUGUGAUUAAAUGUAUGCUUUGUUAAUGUAUUUGAAAAUAUAUGUUAAAGUGUUAGCACGUUUUCAGUGUUAAGAUGUUUUAAGAUUAUAAUGUGGAUUAUUUGUAGCUACCAGCAAACAAUGAUUAUAAGACAAUAUUUUUUAUAAGACAAUAUUUAUAGCUUCCCCCUUUGUAAUAGAUUAAGGAAAGUAAUUAAGGAUUAAUCAUCAUGGCACUUUUAGGUAUAAGACAAGAUUCUGUGGCCAAUUAUGUUGCUUAAAAUGAGACGUUGUAAUACAGACUAAUUUGAAUUAUAUAUUGUUGGUUGGAAGACCUGUUGAUAAGCCCUGUGGUUGGAUUCUAGACUUGGCUCAAUAUAAUUGUUGAAUUUCAAGAGUGUUAAUAACUUAAUAUGUACUUGAUAUUGGUUUGUGCUAUAUUUAUCAGGUUAUAUAUGAUUGAAGAUAUUGGGAAGCAGAUUAAGCAACUAUAAACCUACAAGGUGCAGGACAUUGAUUUACUUGACUAUAAUUGUUGAACUGUAAUUUGUUAUAGUUUAUAAAUUUGUUUGCAUAUGGUGUAUUUUGAUUCAGUUAAUAUUGCAUUUGGUGGUGUAUUUUGA